rnacentral:sRNA from 1 species
GCCAGGUAUGGUGGCUCAUACCUGUAAUCCAGCACUUUGGGAGGCUGAGGCAAGUGGAUUGCUUGAGCCCAGGAGUUCAAGAUCAGUCUAGGCAACAUAGCAAGGCCAAGUCUCUAAAAAAAGCUGGAUAUGUUGGUGUACACCUAUAGUCUCAGCUACUCAGGAAGUUGAGGCAGAAAGAUCACCUGAGCCCAGGAGGUUGAGGCUGUGGUGAGCCAUGAUUGUGCUACUGUACUCCAGCCUGGGCAACAGAGUGAGACCCUGUCUCA